rnacentral:lncRNA from 1 species
GCAUUCCACUUCGAAAAUAGAGAUCUCGCCCACCCAAUAGUGCCUUCACUAGAAUGGAAAGUGGUUUAGAGAGAAGUUGUUGUUGUUUAGAGGUGCCUUCACUAGAAUGAGUAGUAGUAUAAGUUUAGGCCUUCCAAAUGAGAUUAGGUUCGUGUUAUUACGACUGAUGAGCGAGUGAGUCUGACUUUAGUGUAUGUAGUGAAGAAAAAGGGUCGACUACGUUGAGUAUUCUCGACCACCAGGGGAAGUUCUAUUACUAGAAAGCAGUGGGGGGGAAAUUCCAACAUCAACUUGGUUAUUGGACUGGAAUCCCAUUAGGUUGGAAGUUGAGAAAGAUGAAAGGAACGAAAACCCUGCACAACGGCUGCGAAACUCAAAGAAGGAUCAAAAAAGCACUAAAAGAAGGAGAAAAGGGAAGAUUCUUGAUGAAGCAAAUAUCUCUGUGUAGAACAAUCUCAUAAAGAUGAAGCAAAUAUCUCCGUGUAGAACAAUCUCAUAAAGACAGACCAAGGCUCGAGAAAAGAAAUAGAACGAUUGAGUCAGAGCAGAGUUUAUGAGGGAAAGGAAAGGGGUAAAGAAAGGUCUAGGGAGCAGCUACACUAAGAAUGGGACUAAAUCUAAUGCGCUAUCUCGUACCGAUUCCUUCUUUUCAGUCCCAACUCAACUCUCUUGGACUUAUUGUAAUGGCGGUUAAUGCUUGUUCGGUUAAUGAAGUAGAAAGUCAACCACUAUUAUAGAAAUGAAAUAAACUCACCAUCCAUAAAUAGAUCAUUAUUAUAUAUAUCCUAUAAUAGAAUAGAGUAACUAAGCACCGAAACACUACUUACUAGCCCCCUAAACUAACUGGUGACUGCUUUCUGGUUACUUGCUUAGCUUUUGCUUUAUGACUUACGCCGUAGCUUUUUGACUUGUUGACUUUAGUUUGUUUGUUCCGUAGCUUUUUCUCUAUGUUUUGAUUCUUUCGUUCCCAAUCUCUUACUACCGAGCUUCACUACAGCAGAAAAGGAGCGCACUCAUAUUUCUCUGGUUUUAAUUAGUAGCAAGUUCUUCUAUACCUCUGGCUCAUCCACCUCAGGCAACAAAUGAUUGUACUGCUGACUCAUCUCUGCUAACUUCAUUCGGAUCCGAUACCUCUGUAAACAGCCAAGCUACUAGGCAAGUCCAGUUUACUAAGAGCAAGCCCUAACUCUCCACUUUCAGGUUCUUUCCUUACACUAGAAACUAACUUAUUGAAUGAAAUUGAAGAUUACCCGCUUCUACACUACAUGAUACCAGCAUGAAAUAAGUGUGUGGCGCACUUUAUACCCUACCGCUCCGUGGGCAGUCGAAAAGAGCUUAUCGAUUAGACUAAACUUCGAUUGAUGAACCAAAAUAGUAAGCUAAACUCUCUAAACUUGGGUAUAAGAACCUAUCUCACCGAACCUAUACUCGAACCCUAUCUCUACACUUGAGGAAUCGCACUCAACAAAGAAUUCCAUUUACCUUACCCCGAGUCGACUCCUUAGCGCCGAGUCAAACUGUCAUUCACUCUAUCGAGCGCAGAACUAAGAGCAUAUAAUUGAGCUCUGAACUUACCCUUGACCUCAGACAUGCGACUGGCAAUUCUACAGCUUCGGAUUCAUUCGUGGACUUAACUCGCACAGAAAGACACUCUGAAACACCACCGCUUUUAUCUAACUCACUUUCUCAGGAUUCUUCUCCAGCUUAUGUUUCAUCUACUGAUCUUUCCACUCACACUAUACUUUCUGGACGAAAACAAUACUUCACUGUCAAAAGAGGAGGAUACUCUACUUCCUCAUCUGCUCUAUCUUCGGCUUCAGAUCAAUAGGAAUCUGCUUACCCGACCCGAACUAACUAAAGAAUCCACCCCACUACUAGCAAGCCUACUACUAGCAACCCUGCUUCAAAGCCUUAGACUGAUGAGUGGAAUUCUUAUCUUAGUAUCGGUGGUACUGGUUUCAGUAUAUGCCUGUAGAUUUGCAUUCUUUACCUGUAGUUGAUAGUAGCUACCUCGACUCUGGACUAGCUUGCC